GCUGAUGUGACGUAAUCUGGCUGUGAUUCAAAUAAAAUUAAAAUGAAAAGAAACACGUUUAAUAAAGCCGUAAAUUCGCGACAGACGUCCCCGCUGCGUGACAAGCUCAACGUGUCGUCCCGUACUGGUGAGGGCGACUGAAGUUUGCAGUUUGCAGAUUUUUUCAUCGCCCGUCAUCUCACGCGAAGCAGAAGUCAUGAGCGCCCUUGCUCGAGCUCUCGUUCUGGGUCUGCUGCUGGUCGCGUGCCUUCAGUUGAACGUAAUGGGCGUUGGAAAUUUACAAUCAGGAAGGGGCUUCGCAUCUGUGCAGACCCUGGCUUUAAGUGGGUGCAGAACACCAUGGACAGAAUUGAUCAGCGCUUGGUGGAGGAGUCUUCAGUCUA